rnacentral:rRNA from 1 species
UACGAAGGGGGCUAGCGUUGCUCGGAAUCACUGGACGUAAAGGGUGCGUAGGCGGGUCUUUAAGUCAGGGGUGAAAUCCUGGAGCUCAACUCCAGAACUGCCUUUGAUACUGAAGAUCUUGAGUUCGGGAGAGGUGAGUGGAACUGCGAAUGUAGAGGUGAAAUUCGUAGAUAUUCGCAAGAACACCAGUGGCGAAGGCGGCUCACUGGCCCGAUACUGACGCUGAGGCACGAAAGCGUGGGGAGCAAACAGG